GCCCUGGCCAGACGGGACCCAUGGCUGAGCCAAUGCAUGUGGGGUGUUUUAGAAGCCAGUGACAUUUAAGGACGUGGCCGUGGACUUCACUCGGGAGGAACGGGGGCUGCUGGGCCCCACACAGAGGAUCCUAUACCAUGAAGUGAUGCUGAGGAACUACAGCAACUUGGUGUCCCUGGGACUCCCUGCAAACUAGAUGUGCUCUCCACGCUGGAGCAGUGGGAAGACCCCUGGACUAUGGAGAGAGAUGUCCUCAGAGGUCCAGCCCUUAAGAAUGUUUCUUCUUCUGGCCUCAACUGCAAGAGCCCCGCUGAAAGCCGCAGAUUUGCACUGUCCAGUCUGACAGUUGCGCUUCUGUCCGUCCUCCCCAGAUUGGCCGUACACAUUCAGGUUGGAUCCUGAGCAUCUUUCUUUGCUUGUGCUUCAGGCUCGGAGCCUGGGCCCUGAGCUGCAUGGCUGCCUCCAGACAAAGGUGCUCUGCCCCAGGGGCAGAUGAAGAUGAGACUCAGCGGGAGGGUUUCUGGCACACCGUGCCCAGGGGAGUCCCAGAAGGCCAGGUGGCAGAAAGACACUGCCAAGCAGUGACACUCAGCCAAGGGGAAGAAGAGCCCAGAGUGGAGCCUUUCAGGAACUUUGCUCUGGCGCUCGUUCCUCAUGGAGCAUCAGCACAAUCCCCCAGGGGCACAGAUUCCACAAGCCACAUUGGCAAGCAGGGCCUCACCUGUGUUUCAUUCCUAGCUCGGGGUGCCCCUGCCAAGGACAGAGUGUGUGUACGGAGGCCCUUGGCACUUUCCCAGACCUUAGUCACCCACAAGGAGUUCACACUGGGAAGGCCACAUUCGAGUGUGGUGGGUGCGAAGAUGACUUCAGCAAGAAAGCACGCCUUGCAGGCUAUCAACGGAUUCCCACGGAAGCCCUACACAUGCGAGGAGUGUGGGAAGGCCUCUGAAGAGCACGCAUCUCGCUCAACACCAGACAAUCCACACUGGCGAGAAGCUAUACACACGGUGGCAGUGUGGACAGGCCUUCAGCAAGAACUCGUCCCUCGUUAGGCACCAGCGCGUCCACACCGGGGAAAGCCCUAUGCGUGUGGCUACUGUAGCAAGCGCUUCCGAGGGGACUCAUCCCUGGCCAAGCCCCAGCGGGCGCACCGGGAGAAGCCACACGCCUGCGGCAAGUGCGGGUGUGCCUUCAGCCGGAGCACUUGCCUCGUGCAGCCCCAGCGAGUCCACACUGGGGAGAAGCCGUUCACCGGUGGUGAGGGUGGCAGAGCCUUGGCCGACUCCUCGGCCCUCCUGCUCGCCACAGAACCCGCGGGCAGAGCUGCCCCACGAGCCCCGCACGUGCUGCCAGGCACUCAGCGUCGCUCCUCCCUGGCUGACCACGAGCACUGGCACACGGGGGAGGAGCUGUACACGUGCUGGGAAUGUGGGAGAACCUUCAGCGGAGCUCGGCCCUCGGCAGGUACCUGGGGACACACUCAGGUGAGAAGAAGUGACUGUGGCCGCGCCUUCAG